rnacentral:rRNA from 1 species
GACGAACGCUGGCGGCGUGCUUAACACAUGCAAGUCGAGCGGUAAGGCCCUUUCGGGGUACGACGAGCGGCGAACGGGUGAGUAACACGUGGGUGACCUCGCCCUCCAGCUCUGGGAGUAAGCCUGGGAAACGUAGGGUCGUAAUAACUGGAUAUGACUCCACGGUGCAUGUCGUGGGGUGGAAAGCCUUGUGCGGCUGAGGAU